CGUGUAGGCGGUACGGCAAGUCUGCUGUGAAAGCGCCCGGCUUAACCGGGCGAGGUCGGCGGAAACUGCUGAACUAGAGGACGGUAGAGGGGGGUGGAAUUCCCGGUGUAGUGGUGAAAUGCGUAGAGAUCGGGAGGAACACCUGUGGCGAAGGCGGCCCCCUGGGCCGGGCCUGACGCUGAGACGCGAAGGCGCGGGGAGCGAACG
rnacentral:rRNA from 1 species